rnacentral:rRNA from 1 species
ACGCUUGAAGUCAGUCACGUCAGCUAGAAAUCAGCCUUGCUUCUGCUUGGUGUACUUUCUGGUUGAUGGGUCAGCAUCAAUUUUGACUGCUGGAUAAAGUCUCUGGGAAUGUGGCAUCUUUUUUAGAUGUGUUAUAGCCCAUUGUCGCAUGCAGUGGUUGGGAUUGAGGAACUCAGCACGCCUCGCAAGGGGCCAGGUUUCGACCAUGUUCGUGCUUAGGAUGCUGGCAUAAUGGCUUCAAUCGACCCGUCUUGAAACACGGACCAAGGAGUC